AUUAUACCCAUCAAAAGGAUAUCACAGCUCAUUUUGGUGGAAGGCUUUCCUUGUCGCUUCGCGUACGUCUUCUGGAGGGCGGACGGCACCCGCGGCCGGGGAGGAGGGGAGGGAGCCGGCGGCGAAGGGGAGGCCGGCGGGGCGGGGCCGGCGGGGCGGGGCGGGGCGGGGCGGGACGGGGGCCGCUGGGACGGAGCGGGACGGGGGGCGGGACGGGGGCGGGGCGGGGCCGGCAGGACCGGACGGGACGGGGGGCGGGACGGGAUGGGGCGGGGCCGGCGGGACGGGGCGGGGCCAUCGGGAGCGCGCGCCCGCGCGCCCGCGCCCCCGUCAGCUGCAGGUCCGGAGCCGGACGGUAGAGGCCUCCCUUCUGAGGAGGCGGCGCGGCCGCGCGGGGCCGGGGUGAGCGCUCCCAGCCGCGCGUCCUUCCGGACCGGGUCCCUGCGCGGCCCGACCCGGUGCGAGUAUUCCCCACCCGCCGUCCUCCUCCGCAGGCGGCGCCGCCCGUUCUUUGGAGGCUUCUAAUGUGAGGAAAAACACGGAAUGACAAGUGUGGGAAAGAGCAAGCACUAAAUUACUGUCAGAAAAAUAAACGGAGUAGCACAGUGGUGCUCGGUGAUUUACGGGGGCAAUUAGUCACCACCCCACGGCGCUGCUGAGGACAGCACGGCAGCAGACGCGUCAGGCCUGAGAGGAAGAAGAGGCUUUGCACUGCUCUCCAGACAACUUUUCAGACAAGAGAGGAUAUUUGAGCACAUUAGGUUCCAUGUCUUCAUUCUGGGUGCCCACCCUUCACAUUAUUCAGCCAGCCGAAUACAUAAACGUAUUUUUAACACAACAUUAACCUGUUCUGUGUGUGUGUGUGUGUGUGUGUGUUAAAAAGACUCCCAACUGUAGCUUUUUUCUCUCCCACUGCCCAAAGUAGGUUUUUCUCAUUCCUUAAAUGAAACAAACCUUUCCCCACUCCCAAAUUGUCCCCCUGAUGUGUGCCUUUGAUGUGUCUCAUCACUUCUUGCAUCUUGCUAUCAUGUUCUGUAUUUACUUGGAGCCAUUGGGUGCUAAGGAAUUUGGUCUCUAGCUCUUCUGGGGAAGUUUGGUGAGCUGGUACAAAAGAGGUGAUGAAUGAGGCUGUAAACCCAGAGUAAAUAAGAAAGGUACAUAAACUUCCUGAUAUUUGUUGGCCUGUUUUUUUUUUUUUUUAACAUACUCUAUGCAGUGCCUGUGUAUAUGUACAUAGCAAAAUAAACCUGCUAAGAUAUAAUGAGUUGGUGUGCAUUCUUUAGUAGGAAUUCUUCUCAAUCAGAAGAAACCUAGAAUGGAGGGCCAGGAAAGAACCCAGGAAAGACAAAGAUUUUAUUGACUAACUGCCAUGUCUGUGUAGGGGUGCUGGCAAGGCUGCUGAGGCGAACAAAUGAAGCAUCAUCAGGAGUUUAGUAUCCUUAUGGAGUAGUAUCUAAGAAUGCUGCCAUUUUAUAUUUCUGAAGCACUUCACAGUUUCCAAAGGAUAUUUGGAAUUCCUUAUCUCAUUUGAUCUUGCCUUGGCUUUGGUCAAGAACACCUGCUCAGAAAUGUGUUCAGUGACUAUGUACACAUUUGGAGAAUGUGACCUGACACAUGCUACCUUGGCCUGAAAGCUGGAGUACUAAAGAGGCAAAACUGUGUUGAUGAGCUGGUGCUGGUAUGGGCAACUAGACACUUAGGUUCUGAUGAAGAGGCUGGGAAAAAGUGAGAUUUUACUGGCUACUCUUCCACAUUACUAGGUUUUCUCUUUUUAAAGAUAUAAUAUGCCUUUAAAAACAAUUUAGAAAUAAUAUAGAGCCUUGGGAUUUGAUGUAGAAUUGCAUAUUUGUGACCAAAAAGAGCAAUGGUUUUCCUGUAAUAGGAAAGCAAACCCAACCAGGAAAGGAGGCAGAUGUGUUGCUCUGCAACAUUGCAGGCAUAUGAAAUUGUACAGAUCUCACUGAAAACUAGGAAUGAUAUCACUUGGAAAUUUAACCAAAAUUAUUUCCAUCAGUGGACAAAGCACAUUUUAAACCAUUGUAUGCCUUUUUCAGAUAUCGUUCUUUUUCUAAAGUCACAUUUGUUGUUUCUGAUAGAGGGGACAUAAUUGGGAAAAUUAACUAGAUAAAAAAAUGAAAUUUAAAGUAUAAAAAUUCUGCUUUUUCUGAUAAAUUUUACAUUCAUUGUUUCCUUGAUUUAAACAGAACAUUCUAAAAAUAUUACCCCCAUAGGGUGCGCAUUUUUAUGCACAUAUUAUUUUUGUUUAGAAAUUAUGAGCCAAUGAAGAGUGAAAAUGACCUUGGCUAUUGUACUUAUUUAUCAAUAGAAAUAAUAGCUUUUUUAUGUCUGGAUUCAAGUAUCUUCUCUACUAAUCAUGCAACUUCCAUACAUUUCAAAGAGAUGAUUUGGAUUGCAUGAAUACAGGAGUCUGGAGCUUCCUACAUGCCCCUGUAUUUGUACACAAUAUUUAUGCAAUAUUCUGACUUGGCUAUAAUCUAUAAUUUCUGGCUAUUAUUUCAGUUGCAACCAUAAUUUUUAGAUUAAUGGUUAUAAUUUUGGUAGGGAAUACAUGAAAAGUUAUAUGUUCAUGCUUGAAAGGAGGAUCAUUAAAUAUUCAUUAUUACCACUCAAAUUAGUUGUCAUGCUCUAUAAAACAGUUACCCGUUAUCAUUUCACUAGUUUAGAUUCAGCGGUAAGUGAACAGCAAUAUAUGGCUCAUAUCAGUAGAGGAAUUUUUGUUGAGGAACAGAGGGAGAAAUGAUUUUAAAACCCAUUUGACAUAUUUAUGUUGACAAAUUAUUUAAAAGAAUUACUGCAUUGUCAAUAAACAUGUUUGUAUGUUGGAAUAGGAUUGUGACUGGAUUUACUUCUAGCUGUUUAAUUACUCUAUGAUUGUGAAAAACAGUGCUUCUUCAGAUGGUUAUGAGGGGGGAAAAUGAAAAUACAAAGGUUGGGAUAUUUUAGUGUUUUGCACUUGCCUAAGCUUGCCAUAAAAAAGCGCUUUUCAUUUUUUAAGCAGGUACUGAAGUCUUGCUUUUUCAGCGGAGCUAGAUUGUAUAAUUUGUUAGUUUUCCCCAUCUGGUAACAAAUCUAUCCUUCAGAAAAAAAAAAGCAAAAAGCAAAACAAGAGAUGGAUUUUUAUAAAUGUUGUGGGUGAGCAUAUGUGGAGAUGUCUCCUUAACCUGUUUUGGAAACAUGAAGUGAAAAUAAAUAUGAAUGUAUUUUAGUGUAAAAACAUUUUGUGUUUUUCUUCCACAUAUCUUGAUAUGCUUUAUUCAGUUAUGUGAAGACAUCAGGGACAUCCACAUGAUUGUUUUUGUUUUGUUGUUGUUUUUUUUUUUAUCACAUUUCAUACUCUUCAGUAAUUUAAAUUGGCACUUUUUCCAUAGAACUCCCCCCAUAAAUUUGAUUCUGAUCUCAUCUAACUUUAGAGCUUUCUGUCUUAAAGAGUCAAAUUGUAGCUGAUGAACACAUUUUGCAUUUUUCCACAUUGCAUCUGGACUCUUCAGAAUGAUGGUUUAUUUUAUUUUAUUUUUUCUGCACAGAGGAGAGGAAAAAAUAUAUAGGUCCAUGAAUCAAUCUAGAUAAUGGGGAAGGCUGAAUGUAAUAAAUAAUACAGUAACAACCCUAAACUAAUGAGCUGUUGCUAAGGUACAUUUCAUAGGCUCAUCCUCUAUAUAAAAAGUCACUAAUAACCCCUUGGUGUAAUCAGAUGAUAAAGCUUUGCCAUAAGGCAACACCUGUGCAAUUAGAACUGCAGAUUCUUUUGCACGUUUCAUUAAUUUCAGGAUUUUGUAAAGGCACAAUGACUACACUAAUAAUCUAGUCUACUUGACUCCAUGUCUACCGGAAACAAAGUGUCUAAUUAGAUAAAGGUAAUUAAUUAGAGAUAAAUGGAGCUAAUCAGGCUCAGUUAACACUAAUUCUCUGAAUUAAGACAUUUUGGGACACCUACUAUCCUGCUGACUUUGAUAUUUUGCAUUAAGAAUAGGUUCUAGAGGAGUCAGAAAAUACUGGCAUUUGAGAACUGAGCAGUCUUUUGAU
rnacentral:lncRNA from 1 species